UGUCUGAACGAGAAAUGUUUUCGACGAAACGAGAAUGAAGUAUGAAUUUUUAGUGAAAUUGUGAUGGCUGGCUGCACCCGUUGCGGCCGUUACAUGCACCGUUGACUGAAGAAUAUAGACACCAAGGUCGCCAGAUGGCCAGCGCAUGAGGAUCGUACCAACCCAAGAAGAUUUACGGUACCAUUACAGAGAGAAAUCUCCUACCAAAGAGGAUGGGAUAGACAGGGAUAGAGUGGAAGCUAAGCGUACCCACCGUCGCGCGCACCGUCUGGUGAGUCGCAGGACAAACCAAUUGCAUAUGUGUGCAUCGCGUCAUACGUGUGUGAGUCACACCGGCAAUAUUUGCAAACAAGACAAGUUGUAUCAGAAAAGCUGAAAUCGAAUAUUCAUUGUAAAGUUAAGUUCUUUGGUUAAGUUGUUCUAAUUGAAUAUGGUUGUGUACUGCGGUGUGAAAGGGUGCAAUAGAAAUGCUAGAACCGACCGGGAACAUACAUUUUUUCGAAUAGCAGUGUAAGUAGAAUUUGAUUACUAGCAAAAUAGAACCUAACCUCCUUGAUAUUUGCCACAUACCGUACGAAAAAUCCAAAGAUAAACAUAAAUAAAUAUUUUCUAAUUUCAAUAUUCGAUUUUGUUGCCGGCCCGAAAAAUGGUUAGAAUUUGCAGUUUAUUAUAUUUGUGGAUAUUUAUGUAAAAAAUUUUUAUCCCCUCAUAAUUGUAUAGAUUGUAAGAAAUUACUAAUUGAUGAAAACGAUAGUUUAGAUGCUGAACAUAAAUUAUAUGUUAUCAUGAAAAAUUAUGCCGAUACGCAUGGAUUGGUCUGUGCAACAAACAACGUUUUCGAAAACAUUAUUGCAUGGGAACGCACGUUCAAAAGUGUAAUUCAAAGCAUCGUACAUUCGAAUACUGUCACUCAGGUUCUCUCUCAUAUAUUAUUAUAGUCGUGCAGAAAGCUCGAAUUAUGUACAAUCGAUACUAGUGAAGCAUUUUUAAAGUUAUUCUUGAGAAUACGCUGUCACUGGGAGACCAGGUUCAUUCGCAGAAAGAUUAGUGAAUCCGGCGGAAAAACAGAAAAUAAGCCACCCUUAGCAACUAAAAAAAUGCGGAAGUUUGUCGCUACUAAAGUUUAACCAAAUGUAAAUAUAGUUAAAUAUACUACGUAUGUUAUUGUGUUAUUCAAUAAUCUUUUACUUUCAAUAAAGAAUACACUUAUUACUUGUAA
rnacentral:lncRNA from 1 species